rnacentral:rRNA from 1 species
GGCUCAGGAUGAACGCUAGCGGCAGGCUUAACACAUGCAAGUCGAGGGGCAUCGGGAGUAGCAAUACUGCCGGCGACCGGCGCAAGGGUGCGUAACGCGUGAGCAACAUGCCCGUAUCAGGGGGAUAAUCUAUGGAAACGUGGUCUAAUACCCCAUAGUAAUUAUGUAAGGCAUCUUAUAUAAUUUAAAGCUUUGGUGGAUACGGAUUGGCUCGCGUGACAUUAGCUGGAUGGUAAGGUAACGGCUUACCAUGGCUACGAUGUCUAGGGGUUCUGAGAGGAAGGUCCCCCACACUGGAACUGAGACACGGUCCAGACUCCUACGGGAGGCAGCAGUGAGGAAUAUUGGACAAUGGAUGGAAAUCUGAUCCAGCCAUGCCGCGUGCAAGGAAGACGGCCCUAUGGGUUGUAAACUGCUUUUGUAUGGGAGCAAUAAGGGCUACGUGUAGUCCGAUGAGAGUACCAUACGAAUAAGCACCGGCUAACUCCGUGCCAGCAGCGGC